AAUUGGAGGGCAAGUCUGGUGCCAGCAGCCGCGGUAAUUCCAGCUCCAAUAGCGUAUAUUAAAGUUGUUGCAGUUAAAAAGCUCGUAGUUGAAUUUCGGGAUCAAUAUUUCGGUCAUGCCGUUGGUAUGCACUGUUAUCAUUGAUUUCUCACCUUCUAAAGAACCGUAAUGCCAUUAAUUUGGUGUUACGGGGAAUUAGGACUGUUACCUUGAAAAAAUUAGAGUGUUUAAAGCAGGCUCACGCUUGAAUACAUUAGCAUGGAAUAAUGAAAUAGGACAUCCGAUUCUAUUUUGUUGGUUUCUAGGAUCGAUGUAAUGAUUAAUAGGGAUAGUUGGGGGCAUUAGUAUUCAAUUGUCAGAGGUGAAAUUCUUGGAUUUAUUGAAGACUAACUACUGCGAAAGCAUUUGCCAAGGAUGUUUUCAUUAAUCAAGAACGAAAGUUAGGGGAUCGAAGACGAUCAGAUACCGUCGUAGUCUUAACCAUAAACUAUGCCGACUAGGGAUCGGAUGAUGUUAAUUUUUUAAUGACUCACUCGGCGCCUUACGGGAAACCAAAGUGU
rnacentral:rRNA from 1 species